UAUUCUGAUAAACGUUCUAUUAGCACAUUAUUCAGAAGGUCUACAUUUUGUCUGGAAUAAGGCUUUUGUCAGUUGAAAAUCAUUGAUAGAAAAAAAGAACAUUUUGUUUAACAAAAUAUUAAGAGUAGAUAAAUAUUUGAACCAACGUAGAUUUAAUCUAAAAACUAAGUUUAUGAAAUGAUUUUCUAAAGAAUAAGACUUGUCCAAAGGAGUUUCAAUAUUUAUAAUAGUUUUAAUAGCUUUAAGGAAAAUUGAAAAGAGUAAAACAUAAGUGAUUAUAAGAUUGUCUACGAGUACAUUCCUUUGAUUGAUAUUACUCUUGUGGUGAAAAUAUACAAUACAGUAUUCUAAAUACAGCAAAAUAUAAAAAAAACACAGGAAAGAUUAAGCAUCGUACUACAUUAGGUUAUCACCAGUGCCUGGCUGGUGUCUCACUCUGAACACUAGGACACCGCUGGGACACCUAGAUUAUGGGAGUGAAGCAGCGUUCUUCCUCCUUCAUGGUGCCGCGCACUGGUGUCCUAAUUUAAUACGAACCUUAAGCUUUCAUUGCUCAUGGAAACUACUGGUGUAAUACGAGCCUAUAUUGAGAGGAAAUAAUGACUUUAAAAACUAAAAUGAAGAGAGAACAAAAAUCAAAAUCACAUGAAUGUAUUUUCAAAAACAUACAAAAUAUAAAAAACAAUAAUUGUCAUUUCUGAGCGGCUAGUUUGACAAGUUUUCUUAAUAUUGUUUUCAAAUUGAUAAGUCAAGAAUAAUUAUUGCGAAAAUAAGAUUGCCAUUAAAAAUGAUUGAAUAAUCUAAGAAGAAAUGUUUUAACUAUCUUCAUCGAGCAGUCUAUGAAUAAUAACGCUUUUCAACAAUAAUUAGUUUCUAUUUUCCUAGUUUGAGAGGUCUAGUUUCCUAUGAAUUUGUGAAGAUAAGCAGUUUAUAAAUAAUAAAGCUUUUCAACAAUAAUUAUUUUCUAUUUUCCUAAUUUGAGAGGUCUAGUAUCCUAUGAAUUUGUGAAGAUAAGCAGUUUAUGAAUAAUGAAGCUUUUCAACAAUAAUUGUUUUCUAUUUUCCUAGUUUGAGAGGUCUAGUUUCCUAUGAAUUUUUGAAGAUAAAUGUUCAACAAAAAUGAGUAAACUAUUAAAAAAAAUUGAGUAAUUUGAAAACAGUGAAUAAAUUGGCAGACUACAUUCACUACUGUUUUUCAUGCAGACAUUAUAUUAUCAUGCAUGGAACGAAUAAUAAUUCGAAAAAUGGGAAAUUAAAUUAAUAAAACACAAUUUAUUCAAUGAAUAUUCAAAGUAUGAAUUUUUAAAUAAAGUU